AUAGGCACGAUCAGCCAUGCCGCGGGUGUGAAGAAGGCCUUUUGGUUGUAAAGCACUUUAAGCAGUGAAGAAGACUCCAUGGUUAAUACCCAUGGACGAUGACAUUAUCUGCAGAAUAAGCACCGGCUAACUCUGUGCCAGCAGCCGCGGUAAUACAGAGGGUGCAAGCGUUAAUCGGAAUUACUGGGCGUAAAGCGAGCGUAGGUGGCUUAAUAAGUCAGAUGUGAAAGCCCCGGGCUUAACCUGGGAACGGCAUCUGAUACUGUUAGGCUAGAGUAGGUGAGAGGAAGGUAGAAUUCCAGGUGUAGCGGUGAAAUGCGUAGAGAUCUGGAGGAAUACCGAUGGCGAAGGCAGCCUUCUGGCAUCAUACUGACACUGAGGUUCGAAAGCGUGGGUAGCAAACAGGAUUAGAUACCCUGGUAGUCCACGCCGUAAACGAUGUCUACUAGUCGUUGGAUCCCUUGAGGACUUAGUGACGCAGCUAACGCAAUAAGUAGACCGCCUGGGGAGUACGGCCGCAAGGUUAAAACUCAAAUGAAUUGACGGGGGCCCGCACAAGCGGUGGAGCAUGUGGUUUAAUUCGAUGCAACGCGAAGAACCUUACCUGGUCUUGACAUAUCUAGAAUCCUGCAGAGAUGCGGGAGUGCCUUCGGGAAUUAGAAUACAGGUGCUGCAUGGCUGUCGUCAGCUCGUGUCGUGAGAUGUUGGGUUAAGUCCCGCAACGAGCGCAACCCUUGUCCUUAGUUACCAGCGGUUUGGCCGGGAACUCUAAGGAUACUGCCAGUGACAAACUGGAGGAAGGCGGGGACGACGUCAAGUCAUCAUGGCCCUUACGACCAGGGCUACACACGUGCUACAAUGGUAGGUACAGAGGGCAGCUACACAGCGAUGUGAUGCGAAUCUCAAAAAGCCUAUCGUAGUCCAGAUUGGAGUCUGCAACUCGACUCCAUGAAGUAGGAAUCGCUAGUAAUCGCGGAUCAGAAUGCCGCGGUGAAUACGUUCCCGGGCCUUGUACACACCGCCCGUCACACCAUGGGAGUUGAUUGCACCAGAAGUGUACCUAACCUUUAGGAGGCGAUCACACGUGGUUGAUGACUGGGUGAUG
rnacentral:rRNA from 1 species